rnacentral:rRNA from 1 species
CCCUUAGACGUUCUGGGCCGCACGCGCGCUACACUGACCAGUGCAACAAGCAUCCGUCCUUGGCCGACAGGCUCGGGCAAUCUUUGAACGCUGGUCGUGAUGGGGAUAGACUUUUGCAAUUUUUGGUCUUCAACGAGGAAUUCCUAGUAAACGCAAGUCAUCAACUUGCAUUGAUUACGUCCCUGCCCUUUGUACACACCGCCCGUCGCACCUACCGAUUGAAUGGUCCGGUGAAGCCUCCGGAUUGGCGCGCACCUCGGUGCCGCCGAGAAGUUGGCUAAACCUUACCAUUUAGAGGAAGGUGAAGUCGUAANA